rnacentral:rRNA from 2 species
AGUAAGAUCCCUGAAAGAUGAUCAGGUUGAUAGGUCAGAGGUGGAAGCGUGGCGACAUGUGUAGCUGACUGAUACUAAUCGAUCGAGGACUUAACCAA